rnacentral:rRNA from 1 species
AACGCGAAGAACCUUACCAGUCCUUGACAUGUCCACUAUGAGCCUGAGAGAUCAGGUUCUUCACUUCGGGUGGGUGGAACACAGGUGCUGCAUGGCUGUCGUCAGCUCGUGUCGUGAGAUGUUGGGUUAAGUCCCGCAACGAGCGCAACCCUCAUCUUCAGUUGCCCCCGGGUCAGGCCGGGCACUCUGAAGAAACCGCCGGUGACAAGCCGGAGGAAGGCGGGGAUGACGUCAAGUCCUCAUGGCCCUUACGGACUGGGCUACACACGUACUACAAUGGUGGUGACAGUGGGCAGCGAAAGCGCGAGCUGGAGCUAAUCCCCAAAAGCCAUCUCAGUUCAGAUUGCACUCUGCAACUCGAGUGCAUGAAGUUGGAAUCGCUAGUAAUCGCAGAUCAGCACGCUGCGGUGAAUACGUUCCCGGGCCUUGUA